rnacentral:rRNA from 1 species
CGGACGGGUGAGUAACGCGUGAGAAUCUAUCUUCAGGUCGGGGACAACAGUUAGAAAUGACUGCUAAUACCGGAUGUGCCGAAAGGUGAAAGAUUAAUUGCCUGAAAUUGAGCUCGCGUCAGAUUAGCUAGUAGGUGGUGUAAUGGACUACCUAGGCAUCGAUCUGUAGCUGGUCUGAGAGGACGAUCAGCCACACUGGAACUGAGACACGGUCCAGACUCCUACGGGAGGCAGCAGUGGGGAAUUUUCCGCAAUGGGCGAAAGCCUGACGGAGCAACGCCGCGUGAGGGAGGAAGGUUUUUGGACUGUAAACCUCUUUUCUUAGGGAAGAUAAUGACGGUACCUAAGGAAUCAGCAUCGGCUAACUUCGUGCCAGCAGCCGCGGUAAUACGAGGGAUGCAAGCGUUAUCCGGAAUUAUUGGGCGUAAAGCGUCCGUAGGCGGUUUCGUAAGUCUGUUGUUAAAGCGUGUGGCUCAACCACAUACAGGCAGUGGAAACUAUAAGACUAGAGUAUGUUAGGGGUAGAGGGAAUUCCCAGUGUAGCGGUGAAAUGCGUAGAGAUUGGGAAGAACACCGGUGGCGAAAGCGCUCUGCUAGGACAAUACUGACACUGAGGGACGAAAGCUAGGGGAGCGAAUGGGAUUAGAUACCCCAGUAGUC